rnacentral:piRNA from 1 species
UAGGAAGAAUCAGCCUGCCUCUGUUUUAG